rnacentral:rRNA from 1 species
CCUACGGGAGGCAGCAGUGGGGAAUAUUGGACAAAGGGGGGAACCCUGAUCCAGCCACGCCGCGUGUGUGAAGAAGGCCCUCGGGUUGUAAAGCACUUUCAGUGAGGAAGAACGCCUGGUGGUUAAUACCCAUCAGGAAAGACAUCACUCACAGAAGAAGCACCGGCUAACUCCGUGCCAGCAGCCGCGGUAAUACGGAGGGUGCGAGCGUUAAUCGGAAUUACUGGGCGUAAAGCGCGCGUAGGUGGCUUGAUAAGCCGGUUGUGAAAGCCCCGGGCUCAACCUGGGAACGGCAUCCGGAACUGUCAAGCUAGAGUGCAGGAGAGGAAGGUAGAAUUCCCGGUGUAGCGGUGAAAUGCGUAGAGAUCGGGAGGAAUACCAGUGGCGAAGGCGGCCUUCUGGACUGACACUGACACUGAGGUGCGAAAGCGUGGGUAGCAAACAGGAUUAGAUACCCGUGUAGUC